CGGGUGAGUAAUGCCUAGGAAAUUGCCCUGAUGUGGGGGAUAACCAUUGGAAACGAUGGCUAAUACCGCAUAAUGCCUACGGGCCAAAGAGGGGGACCUUCGGGCCUCUCGCGUCAGGAUAUGCCUAGGUGGGAUUAGCUAGUUGGUGAGGUAAUGGCUCACCAAGGCGACGAUCCCUAGCUGGUCUGAGAGGAUGAUCAGCCACACUGGAACUGAGACACGGUCCAGACUCCUACGGGAGGCAGCAGUGGGGAAUAUUGCACAAUGGGCGCAAGCCUGAUGCAGCCAUGCCGCGUGUGUGAAGAAGGCCUUCGGGUUGUAAAGCACUUUCAGUCGUGAGGAAGGUGGUGUAGUUAAUAGCUGCAUUAUUUGACGUUAGCGACAGAAGAAGCACCGGCUAACUCCGUGCCAGCAGCCGCGGUAAUACGGAGGGUGCGAGCGUUAAUCGGAAUUACUGGGCGUAAAGC
rnacentral:rRNA from 2 species